GUAAUUUAGGAACAACGGUUAGAUUUACUAGAUUUGACUGUAAUCCUCUUGGAUACUAUCGGACUGAAAAUCCGUGCGUCAGCAGUUCAAAUCUGCUCGGAGCCA
rnacentral:tRNA from 1 species